rnacentral:misc_RNA from 1 species
GUUGGUGAACCAGCGGAGGGAUCAUUAUCGAGUUUACAACUCCCAAACCCUAUGUGAACAUACCUACUGUUGCUUCGGCGGCCGCCUGGGUCCGGGCCGCCGGAGACCCCCAAACUCUGUAUUAUCAGCAUCUUCUGAAUACGCCGCAAGGCAACACAAAUGAAUCAAAACUUUCAACAACGGAUCUCUUGGUUCUG